rnacentral:rRNA from 1 species
AAAGACGGUCUUGCUGUCACUUAUAGAUGGAUCCGCGCUGCAUUAGCUAGUUGGUAAGGUAACGGCUUACCAAGGCAACGAUGCAUAGCCGACCUGAGAGGGUGAUCGGCCACACUGGAACUGAGACACGGUCCAGACUCCUACGGGAGGCAGCAGUAGGGAAUCUUCCGCAAUGGGCGAAAGCCUGACGGAGCAACGCCGCGUGAGUGAUGAAGGUCUUCGGAUCGUAAAACUCUGUUAUUAGGGAAGAACAUAUGUGUAAGUAACUGUGCACAUCUUGACGGUACCUAAUCAGAAAGCCACGGCUAACUACGUGCCAGCAGCCGCGGUAAUACGUAGGUGGCAAGCGUUAUCCGGAAUUAUUGGGCGUAAAGCGCGCGUAGGCGGUUUUUUAAGUCUGAUGUGAAAGCCCACGGCUCAACCGUGGAGGGUCAUUGGAAACUGGAAAACUUGAGUGCAGAAGAGGAAAGUGGAAUUCCAUGUGUAGCGGUGAAAUGCGCAGAGAUAUGGAGGAACACCAGUGGCGAAGGCGACUUUCUGGUCUGUAACUGACGCUGAUGUGCGAAAGCGUGGGGAUCAAACAGGAUUAGAUACCCUGGUAGUCCACGCCGUAAACGAUGAGUGCUAAGUGUUAGGGGGUUUCCGCCCCUUAGUGCUGCAGCUAACGCAUUAAGCACUCCGCCUGGGGAGUACGACCGCAAGGUUGAAACUCAAAGGAAUUGACGGGGACCCGCACAAGCGGUGGAGCAUGUGGUUUAAUUCGAAGCAACGCGAAGAACCUUACCAAAUCUUGACAUCCUUUGACAACUCUAGAGAUAGAGCCUUCCCCUUCGGGGGACAAAGUGACAGGUGGUGCAUGGUUGUCGUCAGCUCGUGUCGUGAGAUGUUGGGUUAAGUCCCGCAACGAGCGCAACCCUUAAGCUUAGUUGCCAUCAUUAAGUUGGGCACUCUAAGUUGACUGCCGGUGACAAACCGGAGGAAGGUGGGGAUGACGUCAAAUCAUCAUGCCCCUUAUGAUUUGGGCUACACACGUGCUACAAUGGACAAUACAAAGGGCAGCGAAACCGCGAGGUCAAGCAAAUCCCAUAAAGUUGUUCUCAGUUCGGAUUGUAGUCUGCAACUCGACUACAUGAAGCUGGAAUCGCUAGUAAUCGUAGAUCAGCAUGCUACGGUGAAUACGUUCCCGGGUCUUGUACACACCGCCCGUCACACCACGAGAGUUUGUAACACCCGAAGCCGGUGGAGUAACCUUUUAGGAGCUAGCCGUCGAAUGUGGGACAAAUGAUUGGGGUGAAGUCGUAACAAGGUAGCCGUAUCGGAAGGUGCGGCUGGAUCACCU